rnacentral:rRNA from 1 species
AUUGAACGCUGGCGGAAUGCUUUACACAUGCAAGUCGAACGGCAGCACGGACUUCGGUCUGGUGGCGAGUGGCGAACGGGUGAGUAAUGUAUCGGAACGUGCCCAGUCGUGGGGGAUAACGUAGUGAAAAUUACGCUAAUACCGCAUACGAUCUAUGGAUGAAAGCGGGGGAUCGCAAGACCUCGCGCGAUUGGAGCGGCCGAUAUCAGAUUAGGUAGUUGGUGGGGUAAAGGCCCACCAAGCCAACGAUCUGUAGCUGGUCUGAGAGACGACCAGCCACACUGGAACUGAGACACGGUCCAGACUCCUACGGGAGGCAGCAGUGGGGAAUUUGGACAAUGGGCGAAAGCCUGAUCCAGCCAUUCCGCGUGCAGGAUGAAGGCCCUCGGGUUGUAAACUGCUUUUGUACAGAACGAAAAGGUUUCUACUAAUACUAGGAGCUCAUGACGGUACUGUAAGAAUAAGCACCGGCUAACUACGUGCCAGCCGCCGCGGUAA